rnacentral:lncRNA from 1 species
AUGCGUUCAGCCCCAGGACUGGUUUGCAGCGAUCGACCUGGAAGACGCGUACUUUCAUGUCUCGAUCCUCCCUCGCCACAGACCGUUCUGCGGUUUGCAUUCGAGGGUCAGCCAUGGCAGUACAAGGUCCUCCCCUUCGGGCUCUCCCUGUUCCCCCGUGUCUUCACGAAGCUCACGGAGGGCGCCCUUGCCCCACUCUGGGAAGUGGGCGUCUGGAUCCUCAACUAUCUUGACGACUGGCUCAUUAUGGCCCGGUCCCGAGAGCAGUUGUGCGAUCACAGGGACUUGGUGCUCCGGCACCUCAGUCAGUUGGGGCUUCAGGUCAACCGAGAGAAGAGCAAACUCUCCCCUGUGCAGAGAAUCUCUUAUCUCGGUAUGGAGUUAGACUCGGUGAGUAUGACGGCACGGCUCACCAGCGAGCGUGCCCAGUCAGUGCUGAACUGCCUGAGUUUCUUCAGAGGCAGGACGGUGGUACCACUGAAACACUUUCAGAGGCUCCUGGGGCAUAUGGCAUCCGCAGCCGCAGUCACGCCGCCCGGGUUGCUUCAUAUGAGGCCACUUCAGCACUGGUUACACUCCCGAGUCCUGAGAUGGGCAUGGCGCCGCGCUACACAUCGUGUCACCAUCACACCGAUGUGUCGCCGCCUAUUCAGCCCCUGGUCGGACCUUGCCUUUCUACGGGCCGGCGUGCCCUUAGAACAAGUGUCCCGGCACGUUGUUGUCACAACAGAUGCCUGUUUCGUACAUAAACCGACAGGGCGGUCUACGAUCACGUCGCAUGUCUCAACUCGCCCGCCAUCUCCUCCUCUGGAGUCAGACGUGGCUCAAGUCGCUGCGCGCUGUCCACAUCCCGGGGGAGCUCAAUCGUGCAGCCGACGCGCUCUCACGACAGCUCACUUUCCCCGGAGAAUGUCGACUCCAUCCCCAGAUGGUCCAGCUGAUCUGGAGUCGAUUCGGGGAAGCUCAGGUUUGCUGUCCACGAGUCCUCCCACUGCCAGCUUUCGGAGAUGCCCGGUCAGAGUCGUUCUUUCUUUCCUGCAAGAAAGGUUGGAGCGUGGGCUGUCACCCUCCACCCUGAAGGUGUAUGGCUGCCAUUGCAGCCCAUCACGAGGCAGUGGACGACCGGUCCCUGGGGAUUCAUGA